AUUGAACGCUGGCGGCAUGCUUUACACAUGCAAGUCGAACGGUAACAGGGAGCUUGCUCCGCUGACGAGUGGCGAAGGGGUGAGUAAUGCGUCUGAACGUGCCGAGUCGUGGGGGGAGAACGCAGCGAAUGGUGUGCUAAUACAGCAUACGUACUGAGGUAGAAAGUGGGGGACCUUCGGGCCGGGCGCCAUUCGAGCGGCCGACGUCUGAUUAGCUAGUAGGUGGGGUAAAGGCUCACCUAGGCGACGAUCAGUAGCGGGUCUGAGAGGAUGAUCCGCCACACUGGAACUGAGACACGGCCCAGACUCCUACGGGAGGCAGCAGUGGGGAAUUUUGGACAAUGGGCGAAAGCCUGAUCCAGCCAUGCCGCGUGUCUGAAGAAGGCCUUCGGGUUGUAAAGGACUUUUGUCGGGGAGGAAAUCCCCAGCGCUAAUACCGCUGGGGGAUGACAGUACCUGAAGAAUAAGCACCGGCUAACUACGUGCCAGCCGCCGCCGUAAAAC
rnacentral:rRNA from 1 species